rnacentral:rRNA from 1 species
GAGGUCCCGCCUGCCCUGUGACUAUAUGUUUAACGGCCGCGGUAUUUUAACCGUGCGAAGGUAGCGUAAUCACUUGUCUUUUAAAUGAAGACCUGUAUGAAUGGCAUCACGAGGGCUUAGCUGUCUCCCCUCUCCAGUCAAUGAAAUUGACCUCCCCGUGCAGAGGCGGGGAUUCAAACAUAAGACGAGAAGACCCUGUGGAGCUUCAGACCUAAAAUAAUUUACGUUUAAUACACUGGAAAUAUCAGCAAAAACUUAAUAAUAAUUAUUGAAGUGUCUUUGGUUGGGGCGACCGCGGGGUAAAACACAACCCCCAUGUGGAAUGGGGAGAUUAUCCCUAGUACCUAGAGCCGCUACUCCAAGUAACAGAAAUUCUGACUUUUUGAUCCGGUAUUAACCGAUCAACGGACCGAGUUACCCCAGGGAUAACAGCGCAAUCCUCUCUCAGAGCCCAUAUCGACGAGGGGGUUUACGACCUCGAUGUUGGAUCAGGACAUCCUAAUGGUGCAGCCGCUAUUAAGGGUUCGUUUGUUCAACGAUUAAAGUCCUACGUGA